ACGGCUCAGUAACACGUCAAUAAUCUAACCUUAGGCUCAGAAUAACCUUGGGAAACUGAGGGUAAUGCUGAAUAUGAGAUUGAUACUGGAAUGUUCUUUCUUUGAAACGUAAGGUCUAAGGAUGAGUUGGCGGCGGAUUAGGUAGUUGGUGGGGUAAAGGCUCACCAAGCCGAAGAUCCGUAGGGGCCUUGAGAGAGGUAGCCCCGAGAAGGACACUGAGAUACUGGUCCUAGCCCUACGGGGUGCAGCAGGCGCGAAACCUUUGCAAUGCGCGAAAGCGUGACAAGGGGACCCUGAGUGCUUAUGUUUAACAUAGGCUUUUGCCAUGGGUAAACACCAUGGCGAAUAAGUGGUGGGUAAGACCGGUGCCAGCAGCCGCGGUAACCCCGGCGCCACAAGUGGGAAUCACAUUUAUUGGGUCUAAAGCGUUCGUAGCCGGUUUUGUAAGUCUUUUGUGAAAUUGUUAUCAUAAAAAUAACAACGUGCAAAAGAUACUGCAUUACUAGGGAUUGGGAAGGGUAAGGAGUACUCCAAGGGGAGCGGUAAAAUGUUAUAAUCCUUGGAAGACUACCUGUGGCGAAGGCGCCUUACUAGAACAACUCCGACGGUGAGGAACGAAAGCUAAGGGAGCAAACCGGAUUAGAUACCCGAGUAGUCUUAGCUGUAAACGCUGCGAGCAAGAUGUUGCAUAUUCUUAGUGAAUGUGCAGUGUCGAAGAGAAGUCAUUAAGCUCGCCACCUGGGAAGUAUGGUCGCAAGGCUGAAACUUAAAGGAAUUGGCGGGGGAGCAC
rnacentral:rRNA from 1 species